rnacentral:rRNA from 1 species
GACGAAGGUGGCGAGCGUUGUUCGGAAUCACUGGGCAUAAAGCGCACGUAGGUGGUGUCGUAAGUCGGGUGUGAAAUCCCUCGGCCUAACCGAGGAACUGCGCCCGAUACUGCGAUGCUUGAGGAUCAGAGGGGUGCAUGGAAUUUCCGGUGGAGCGGUGAAAUGCGUUGAUAUCGGAAGGAACACCGGUGGCGAAAGCGGCGCUCUGGUCCUCUUCUGACGCUGAGGCGCGAAAGCCAGGGGAGCAAACGGG